rnacentral:rRNA from 1 species
UACGUAGGGGGCAAGCGUUGUCCGGAAUCAUUGGGCGUAAAGAGCGUGUAGGCGGCUUGGUAAGUCCGCUGUGAAAGUCCAGGGCUCAACCCUGGAAAGCCGGUGGAAACUGUCAAGCUUGAGUCCGGAAGAGGCGAGUGGAAUUCCUGGUGUAGCGGUGAAAUGCGCAGAUAUCAGGAGGAACACCAAUGGCGAAGGCAGCUCGCUGGGACGGUACUGACACUGAGACGCGAAAGCGUGGGGAGCAAACAGG